GCUGCUGUUUUGUGCUCAAUUAUGAGUUUUUACUGCUGUGUGUGGUAUAUAUGUCUUAGCCUUGCACGCAAAUUAAGGUUUGGAAUACAAACAGAGAUAGAUUAGAAUGAAUGUGGAGCAGAGGGAGAGAGAGGGAGAGAGCUGCUGCAGUCUCCACACAGUGCUGAGGCCAGGGCUGCGUGACUGGUCGGUGCUGGGAGAGAGAGAGAGAGGGAGAGGCAGUGCGAGAGGGAGAGGGAGAGGGUGGGAGAGAGAGAGGGAGCAGAAAGGAGAGAAAGGGGGAGGGGAAGGCGCCUGAGUGGAUGAGUAGCAGCAUCCCUCUCUUCUCUUGCAUGCUCGCUCUGAGCUGGUUGGGCUAGAGCACGGUGAUCACACACGCACACACACACACGCACACACACACACCCAUUGCCACGCAGGCUCGCACACACACACAGACACACAGGCACACAGGCGCGUUAGCGCCCCAGUCACACGCGCUGCGUAGUCGUUGGUGGUAGCGGCAGCCACAGGGACGUGUAGAAACGGCCGCACCGAGACAGGUUCUCCGCUGAGAGCACCAUGGCGCAAGCCGCCAAGCAGCUCAAAGUGAGGAAGGACCUAGCGGAGGCUGCCGCUCAGGAGCUGAGGGACAAGGAGGAGGAGAAGCUUAAGAAGAGGAACAGGUCGAGGGACCGCCGGCGCAAGGCCCAUGUGGUCCAGCGCUGGCUUUUCGAGCAGGACAGUAGUGUGAGGUCUGAGAGAGGCUCGCUGGAGGCCCGUGGAAUAUGGCACUUUGAUGAAAGAGUAAAUAUAUAACCCCCUCCCUCCCUCCCUCCCUCCCUCACUCCUUUCCUCCCUUCCUCCCUCCUUACCUCCCUCCCUCACUCCUUCCCUCCUCUCUCCAACUCCUCUUCUGUUGUGUGUCGUAGCACUUUGACGCUUUUCGCCGCUCUCGUCUACGUGGCAGCUUUGUUGUCGUUACUGUAGUGAAUUCGUGCCGUCACACACUCUAACUCUGCUAAUCGCUCUCGUCCUUUUGACCUCACUCUCUCACUAUGUGCCAUGUUUGUUGUUCUUGGCUAUCUUCUUCUUCUUCUUCUUCUUCUUCUACUUCUUCUUCUUCUUCUUCUUCCUCCUCCUCAUUGUAGUCUGGUGUGUCUUAUGGUAGCUCCUGUUGUCAGAGGUGUCGUGUCGCUG
rnacentral:lncRNA from 1 species